GGAGUUUGGACCGUGUCUCAGUUCCAAUGUGGGGGACCUUCCUCUCAGAACCCCUACUGAUCGUCGGCCAGGUGGGCCGUUACCCCGCCUGCAACCUAAUCAGACGCAUCCCCAUCCCUGAGCGAUAAAUCUUUCAUCCGACUCAAAUGCUAUCGUCGGACAGCAUAGGGCAUUAAUCCGACUUUCGCCGGGCUAUUCCCUACUCAGGGGAAGGUUGGAUACGCGUUACUCACCCGUGCGCCGGUCGCCAGCGACAGUAGCAAGCUACCGUCCUGCUGCCCCUCGACUUGCAUGUGUUAAGCCUGUAGCUAGCGUUCAUC
rnacentral:rRNA from 1 species